rnacentral:rRNA from 1 species
CCCUUAGAUGUUCUGGGCUGCACGCGCGCUACACUGAUGCGCUCAACGAGUUUUAACCUUGCCUGGAAAGGUUGGGUAAUCUUUUUAAAACGCAUCGUGAUGGGGAUAGAUUAUUGCAAUUAUUAAUCUUCAACGAGGAAUUCCUAGUAAGCGCAAGUCAUCAGCUUGCAUUGAUUACGUCCCUGCCCUUUGUACACACCGCCCGUCGCUCCUACCGAUUGAAUGUUCCGAUGAAUACCAUGGACUGAGAGUAUGAAUGGGUUCGCCUAUUUCUGCUUCUCGGGAAGUGGAGUAAAUCUUAACAUUUAGAGGAAGGAGAAGUCGUAACA